AGGAUGAAGAAACUCUGCUCUGACUUGAUACUCUUGACCUUUGCUUCCCUACCCUGUAACCAAGGGAUCAGCCUGAUUCAACCCUUCCAAAAAACAAAGCCUCAACCCAGUGAAAGAUGACCCCAAAUAUCUUUCAGUGACCAUCAUCCCAGUGGCUGGCUCCAAGUGAAAAAGCUCAUUUCACAACAUCUUACAAGAUGAAACUCCAAAACCACUCCAAAGCUAAAGGAAUUGCAGUUGGAAGAGGCCAGUUGUGAAAUUUUCACCGUGAGGUAUUUCCUAAGAGCUCUGCAGAGUUAACUGUGAAAUUAAUUUUAUCAGGCUGAAAGGGAAAUAGAUGGGAGUCACACUGGGGUUAAAACUCAGCAGUUUUCUCCUCUAAAGGUGGCUGGUGUCAGGGCAGCUGGGUCUGUACAACUCAUCAGCCUUGGAGGUGGGAAGGACACAUCCCAGCACUGACAUCCCUUCAGCUUUUCCUGCAGCUCAUUUCAGACCUGGGACUAUCUGUUUGCCCAGAAUAAGAGCAUUUCCAUGGCCUGCACACGCUGUGACCUGCAGUCUGAUCUCCAGCAACAGAAUCAUCCACGUGUGAACUCUCCAGAGCUCCAAAAGCCCAUGGCAGCAGCUGUAGGUCAGAGGUUGUGCUGCUCACAAGGUACAAAAAAAGGACAAAGAACUCCACAACCCAGAAAUUCCUGACCUUAAGUCAGACAACAGGGAAAAAGAGUUUGGAAGGAGGAUUUGGUCAGGGGUGUGACAGUUUCACCUCACCAAUGGCAAUGCCAUCUCCUUCCCAGACCCUCUCAACAUGUGUCUGUCUCAUCCUCAUGGACAUUUCCCUGUUCCCAGCACUACAGAGUGGAUGAGGGAGGAAGCAGCAAGUGAACCAGCUCUGCUCAGCAGAAAGGAAAUUCUGGACAGACAAAAUCAGCAGCAAGUUCAACUGGAAGGUGCUGGGAGCAGGAGCAGAGCAAAAGGAACAGCUGAUCCUGCUGCAAGGCCUUUUGCUCUGCUGGACAUUCACACAACCACGACCAUUCCCAAACUACAUCUGCAGGCUGUGCUCAUUCUUUACUCACUCUAAAAGGCAUAAGAAGAAAAGGAAGGCCCUGGAGUGGGCUACAGUGUUGUGUUCCAUUCUUGAUACAGCUAAGAAGUCUCCUACAGAAUAUCUGGGCCAGAGACUUUAAGGUCCACUUUGAACUUUUGGUAGAUUUUCCCUCAUCAAGACCAAAAUUCAAAAUUCAAACCAAGGAGUUCCUACCUCCAGCCAUCAGGUAACCCAGUAAAGAGAGAGAUGUGGAAAUAGGAGAUGUUGCAUUUUUAAUCAUAAUUUCUACUGAGUUCUACAUUAUGGUGUUGAAUAAUCCUGGCUUUAACCUUGUCAGGAGAGCUGUCCACCCCUGACAGUGAAAAGGCAUCAUCUCCUGCUCUCCUCAUCCCUCUCCUUACUGCCAUGCAGGAACUCACUGCAUGAGUUUUAAUUCUGCAGGUUUUCAUUCUGAUCUCAUCUCAAUGAGGAUGAAAAAUCUGCAGGAAGUCUGCCACUGUUGUGCACAAAGUACUGAUGAAGACUCAAAGCUCAUUCAGUGCCAGAUGAUAUUUAAAUCUCUGCUUCAGAGAGACUGUUUCUUCUGGAGAACACAGCCUGUCCCUCAGUGGAUCACUGUGGCAGAGUCAGUCCCAACCCACAAAGAACAGACUCCCAGCACAUGACUCAAGUGAAUGAGGAGCUCCUCACCCUCUCUAAGGAAUCCAAGCUUUUAUUACAUCAAAGCAGCUGGAGGCAACCUGAAAUACUCAAAGGUGCACCUAGACAGAUUUAAAGCUCCCCCCCCACACUUGCUGGCUCUCAGUGCUUGCUGAGUCGUGGUAGCACCUGUUUGGUGAAGAUAUCCUUCUUUAAUUUGUGCUGCUGAACUGCUGCUUGCCUGCAGCACCUACGUGCUCCCUCCCUGAGCACUCAGACCACGAGCAGUCAUCCCCAACUCUGAAAAUACUCCUCUGAACUUGCCCCAGUCAGGAGCCAACUGCACAUUUGCCAGACAGGUUUCUCACCACAAGAACUGAAGACACUUGCUGCUGGUCUCUCCAGGCUCCUCCUCCAUGCUGAGUCACACUCCAGCUGCCUUACCCCAGCACUCCAUGCUAAAACAAUGGGAAUGCUCCCUCAGAGCACCCAUUUCCCACGCAGGCUGCACAACUCCCCAUUACCACUCACCUCCUAUUUUUCAUAAUCUCAGUGUGCUUUACAGACAUUAAGCCAAGCUUAUUUAUACGCUAAUAUUUCCUGGUUCCCACACCAGAUAAUUCCUAAAAGAAGCCGGGAGCAGAACCAGAAGACUACAAAGCAACGCUUAGACUUGUUAGCAUGAAAAAGGGUUUUGGAAGUGGGUGUACAAGGAGCAGACUAAUGAGACGUCUGUGCUGAGGAAAGAAGAUUACAGAGAGACUGCAGGCAUUGCAAGGCUCUGUGGUGUGACAUGGGAAUGCCUGGAUCCAUCCAGGAAGGUGGAAAAUCUGUGAUACCUUCCUGCAGCUGACCAGCACCACCGCACUCGAGUCCUGCACCCCGGAGUCUGGCACCCCCACACUGCUGAUGGUCCUGAGCAGGGGAUGAUGAGUGGGUCACUCCCAGCUCCAUGGAUUCCCAGCACUUAAGGCUAUGUCUUUCAUCCCUAUUAAAAUAAAAUUCCCGUCUCUCUUG